rnacentral:rRNA from 1 species
UACGAAGGGUGCAAGCGUUACUCGGAAUUACUGGGCGUAAAGCGUGCGUAGGUGGUUUGUUAAGUCUGUUGUGAAAGCCCCGGGCUCAACCUGGGAAUGGCAAUGGAUACUGGCAGGCUAGAGUGCGGUAGAGGGUAGUGGAAUUCCCGGUGUAGCGGUGAAAUGCGUAGAGAUCGGGAGGAACACCAGUGGCGAAGGCGCUACCUGGACCAGCACUGACACUGAGGC